UUAAGUUCACUAGAGGGUCCCUCAC
rnacentral:piRNA from 1 species